GGAAAGCCGUAACCCUCUCAUUGCCUGCAUUUCGUCCCCUUCAGGCGUGUUCUGCAGGAGGAAAAGGAAGUUUUCAAGAAAUGCUUUCGUGGUUUUCUAUGUCUGCCUGUUUGCAGGGUGGUUCCUUGUCCUCUGGGAUGAAGAGAGAGGCUGGGUGGAACUGCCUGCAGACCACAGUCCAGGCUCUUAGCUGCAAGCUGGACUACACCAAUUUCCAAAUGGGCAUGUAGGAAGUCUGUUCCCUUGGCUCCAGCAGGGAAAAAGGAAGACAUCUGUGGUGCCAUACUGACAGGUGGACUCAGUGGAAUUAGGGAAUACAGCUUUCCCAGGAUGAGUGCCUGUCACAGCCCAUGCUCCCAGGCACACAACUGGGGAACAGCCGUUCCUCUACUGCCCUGACCCAGUCGUCACUGCAGAUGCAGGUCAACUUUGUACCAGGGAGAAGGAAAAAGCUGGCAGGACACUCAGCAGUGUGAUCUGAGCUUCUUGCUUUUGAAGCCUGAACCAACAUUAUGUUUGGUAAGUGAAGUGUCAUGCAUCACAAAUUGAGGACUUUUCUACCCAAAAAACUUUUUUGGAAUAUAGGGGUUACCCUUAACUCAAGUCUUAUCAGUAUGAGAAAGGCAUGUGUCUACCAAGAUUAGCUGGCACAGCAAUAUUAGUUGUGAGCUAAAAUAUUCCCACCUCUAAAAUACCAGUACGAAGGAAAAACUGUAUAGGUGCAGUGUUUUCUGUCAGAAGGUUUUUACUAGUAGAGCCUCUCACACUGAAGGAUGUGCUUUGAUUAGAUGAGCAAACAAGCUGGUUUUGCCAUUAGAAGCUCUCUCACCACUUGGGGCUUUGCAGAGAUGCAUCUGAAGGCAGAGGUGCACUGGCAUUGCCUCUGCUCUGCAGACUUGCAGAAGGUGCUGACUAUGGAUGCUCCAUUCUGAAAUGAAAAACUGAGUUAAAAAUGCUUGCGUGUGGAAAAAUAAAAAUGUUUCAAAUCAGCUGGCUUAGCAAAACCCAUAGCGAAAGUGAGAGUGGAAGCCUAAGCACUGCAGGCCUUGGCUAGGCUGUGAAUGCAGAGUCAAUAGGGCAUCCAGGAGGUUAGGAGCCUUGGAGUCAUGAAGGAGCCAAAAUCGAUGCGUGUGAGACAGGGACCUCAGGCCUGAGUCAUGGGUUUCAAGACUGCCAGGCUCCCCGCACCGUCCGAGGAAGCCAAGCCUUCAGUAGGGAUUGAAAUCCUGGGGCUUUUGUCACUGUUGGAAGGGGUGCAGAGGUCUGGAAAGCUGCACAUGAAAACUCCCAAAAGUCUUAACGUCC